rnacentral:misc_RNA from 1 species
GGAGUAUUUUGCUAUUGCAGUUACAAUAGUUGUGGUUGCAGUUCCUGAAGGGCUCCCCUUAGCUGUGACUUUGAGCCUUGCUUUUGCCAUGAAGAAAAUGAUGAACGAUAAGGCUCUGGUUCGCCACCUCUCAGCUUGUGAGACUAUGGGCUCAGCGACAACUAUAUGUAGCGACAAGACAGGAACACUUACCACCAAUCACAUGACUGUUGUUAAAG